rnacentral:rRNA from 1 species
GACGAACGCUGGCGGCGUGCUUAACACAUGCAAGUCGAACGGAAAGGCCCUGCUUUUGUGGGGUGCUCGAGUGGCGAACGGGUGAGUAACACGUGAGUAACCUGCCCUUGACUUUGGGAUAACUUCAGGAAACUGGGGCUAAUACCGGAUAGGAGCUCCUGCUGCAUGGUGGGGGUUGGAAAGUUUCGGCGGUUGGGGAUGGACUCGCGGCUUAUCAGCUUGUUGGUGGGGUAGUGGCUUACCAAGGCUUUGACGGGUAGCCGGCCUGAGAGGGUGACCGGCCACAAUGGGACUGAGAUUCGGCCCAGACUCCUACGGGGGGCAGCAGUGGGGAAUAUUGCACAAUGGGCGGAAGCCUGAUGCAGCAACGCCGCGUGCGGGAUGACGGCCUUCGGGUUGUAAACCGCUUUCGCCUGUGACGAAGCGUGAGUGACGGUAAUGGGUAAAGAAGCACCGGCUAACUACGUG